rnacentral:tRNA from 1 species
GGGUGCAUAGCUCAGUUGGUAGAGCAGCUGACUCUUAAUCAGCGGGUCGCAGGUUCGAAUCCUGCAUCACCCACCA